rnacentral:rRNA from 1 species
AUUGAACGCUGGCGGCAGGCCUAACACAUGCAAGUCGAGCGAGCGGCGGACGGGUGAGUAAUGUCUGGGAAACUGCCUGAUGGAGGGGGAUAACGACUGGAAACGGUAGCUAAUACCGCAUACCAUCAGAUGUGCCCAGAUGGGAUUAGCUCGUAGGUGGGGUAACGGAUCACCUAGGCGACGAUCCCUAGCUGGUCGGAGAGGAUGACCAGACACACUGUAACUGAGACACGGUCCAGACUCCUACGGGAGGCAGCAGUGGGGAAUAGUGCACAAUGGGCGCAAGCCUGAUGCAGCCAUGCCGCGUGUGUGAAGAAGUCCUUCGGGUUGUAAAGGACUUUCAGCGGGGAGGCGUGACCCGCAGAAGAAGCACCGGCUAACUCCGUGCCAGCAGCCGCGGUAAUAC